rnacentral:misc_RNA from 1 species
AACUGACCAGUACAAGCGAUAAGUAUAAGAGUGCCGUGGAGUCCUUACUGAAGGCCAACGAAGCGGUCCAAGGUCGUCCCGUGGAUAGAUCCAUGUUGAAGAUCGAGAAGCCACAAUCGAAGGUGGUUGCUCUGCACGGUGUCGAGGCCACUGCGAAGUCCACGGACAGGAUGAAAUCCUCGCAGGACGUCGUAGGAUACGUUAGUAAGCACGACUCAGCCAAAUCCAAGGCGAAUCACGACUCUAAUCAUGGAUUCAAGGUCGAAAAUCUCAAGUAUUACGGCGAGUUGAAAGGCUAUGAUUUUAAAUCUUACGGUACGAUCGAUAAGCCAAUCGUUACGUCUCACGAGAAGUCACAUUUACAUGGUGCACCGGAGAAGGUUUCUCAUGAGAAAUGUCACGCGAAAUUGUCGUCAGGUUCGACGUCCUCUUCGUCUCCAGCUAUGCAAGCAUACUUGAAGGUUCCAAACGUCGUCGAUCGUCAAACUGAGAAGAGUCCCUACGGGGAGCAUUAUUAUCAUAGAUCGUCACACUCCAAGCCGCAGAACGCGUAUCAAGUUUAUCAGGAGACCAAGUACUCUUACAACGUUAGUGGGGUGCCAGGAACACCGGCACAGGCCAGCGCAGCCGCAGCGUUCUUUGCAAGAGCCGCACAGAAGUUAAACCUGUCGUCGAGUCCCCAUCGUCGACGACGUUCCGGUGACGAAAACAUCGGACCAGAAGAGCAACUAAUCUUUCCUAAUGGAUACGCCGCAUUGCUUCUCAAAUCACCGCCUCCGGCACCACCGGCCCUUCUCAGGAGGAUAGGAGUCAAGGAGCUUACCGGAGUUGGCAAGGUGAAAGUCAUGCUAAGGGUAUCUCCAGGGGAUGGUGGUAGUUUCUUCAACGCCGAUAAACGAAAAAAGCAAGUGACUUUGGUUGAUCCAGCAUCCGGUCAAUCAUCUUCAGCUGAAGAUCGUAGGCCAACAGUGGCAGCACCGAAGAUGUUCGCGUUCGACGCUAUUUUCACGGAGGAAGAUUCUCAGACAGAGAUUUGUUCGAGCGCUCUUACCGAUGUCAUUCACGCUGUCAUCAAUGGUACGGAUGGUUGCCUCUUUUGUUAUGGACAUGCAGGUUUAGGCAAGUCUCACACAAUGUUGGGCACCCCUGAGGCAGGCCACACUUUGGGCGCAAUUCCGUGCGCGAUAGCGUGGCUCUUCCGUGGAAUUUCCGAGCAACGUCAGAGAACCGGUGCCAGAUUUAGCGUGAGGGUCAGCUGCGUAGAAUUGACCACUGGCCAGCAACAGUUGAGAGAUCUUCUUGCUGCUCACGCGAAUGAUUCAGAACAAUCGCCGGCCGUUUAUCUGAGAGACGAUCCGCUAUUCGGUACGUUACAGUUACAACAACAUAGUGAGCUCCGAGCUCCAACUGCAGAACGUGCAGCUUUUUAUCUCGACGCAGCAGUUGCUGGCCGUCAACGAGAAGAUGGAGAUGCUCAUAUGCUCUAUACGUUACACGUGUAUCAGUAUAGCGUCGCAGGCAAGGGUGGUGUUGCCGGCGGUAGAAGCAGACUACAUCUCAUGGACCUUGGUAAUUCCGACCGUGGCAAGUCGUCCGGUGGAAUACCACUUUCAGGUCUGGGAAAUAUUCUCUUAGCCAUUUUCAAUGGACAGAAGCAUUUGCCGUACAAGGAGCAUAAGCUAACCCAAUUACUAAAGGAAUGUCUUGGCUCGUUAACGUGUCAUGCAGCAAUGAUCGCCCACGUGUCUCCGAAUGCUCAGCAUUAUACCGAGACUUUAACGACCGUGCAGUUGGCAUCGAGGAUUCAUCGAAUGAGACGAAGAAAGAUUAAAUUUGUCGGUGGUGGUGCGCAGGGUACCGGGAGCGGUGGUAGUUCGGGUGAGGAAGCAGCCAGACAAAACAGCGAGUGUGAUCCAAGUUCCAGUGAUCUUUCCGCAGACACUGUGAUUUACGUUGGCCCAAGUGCCGACGACGCAACCGAUGGAGAACAUCCACCAGUUUAUAUUCCCAGUUUGAAUUCCGGUGACAAUCGUUGUGCAAUGGGUCGAGUACUCCGUGGCUCAGCAGCUGAGAGACCUAGUAAGAUUCCUGAAGAAAGAAGUCCAGCACACAAGGCCACGAAAAUAUCGAAAACAUUAACACAGACAGCUUCGAAACAGACUUCACCUGCUCACAGUGCCACGCCAAAAGCUAGUCCAGCACGGAAGAUAUCUUCGAGCAAAGUUUCCAGCUCAAAAAUAACUGACUCGCCGAGUAGUAAGAUUCCAGUAGCUGCUUCAAGUGGUGCCUCGGAUGAACAAUGGAUAGAUGGUCCAAGAAUUUCAAAAUCUAAGGUUGCCGAAGCUAGACACAUGUUGAAGGAUUCUCAUCAUAAACGAGAAACUUGGAUAGACGGACCGAUGCAAUUAACAAGUCCUCCACUCUUGCCACUUCAUACGCAACAACAACAUUCUUCUGGUUAUGGAUUCAUGGAUAGUCAUAAAAAGAGUAUGAUAAGAAAAUGGGUAGAGAAUCAAUCGUCUCAAAUUCAAAGAUCUAAGCACGCGCAGUUGCGUAUGGAACCAUUAAAAAACACUGGACAAUCUUCUCAGUUGAAGGAAAUGACGACGUUCAAGAGUUGUUCUGCCACUGUUGACGAUGACGAUACCUCUUUAUCAACAGCUGAGAGUGAUAGUCUGAAGGCCAACGAGAUCGAAGACAUUACUGAAAAACUCGGAGCGAAACUUAAUCUUCUAAACGUCAAGUCGAAUACCGAUUCAGGAUUAGAUCUAACAGCAAGCCCAGUUAUGGAUGAUAGCAUUGAUAGAGGAAAAUUAGAUCUUCCCGAGGAUGAGGAUGACGACGAAGAGAUAGUUGUACCACCUCCCUUACCUCUGAUUGAACCUCUUAGCAAUGGAGUUAGCAGGGAAGUUUCCAUGGAAAGUUUGAAUCUUUCUCACAAGGACAUUGUAUUACCAUCCAGACACUCCCUCUCAUCCGAAGACGAAAUCUUAGAAAUUGUUGAGGUGGAAGAUUUAGAACCAGUGCCAAUGCAGGACUCCUGCCUUCAAGUUACGGAAGAAGACAUUGCCAUGUGUAUGAGCGAAAAUCCUUUGCCAGAGAGCGAUCAAGAAGAACAUCCUUUAAGAAUUCUCAGCCAGGAAAAUCUUACAGUUGUCUCUACAUUUACUGACUCAAUGUCGGUAAUGUCGGACACGGAACGCUACAGAUCUCACUAUCCACCCCCCGUUGGUUCUGGUGUAAUGCCGAGGCCAUAUUUCGACCACGAGGAUUUCUUGGAACAAGAGACUAGGCACAAAUUCGAUCAGUUGGCAAGACUUCACGAGCUUUACCAGAGCAAAUUAGCUCUUGCGAAUGUUUCAAAUUCAGCGACGUAUCAAAGGGAGAAUUCGUCCACUGUGAACUCGCGAGAAGCUCCAUCCGCCACCGUCUUCCGUCCGCCAUCACGCUGUCAAUCCUUGUCCCUUACGGAUGUCUUGUUCAACGACAAUGCGAGCAAUCAUGGUAGUAUCUACAGCGAGCCCGCAUACAUAGCUGGAAAGUCCGAUCAGGAGAAGAUCUGUGACAAUUGUCGUCAAAGUAUGUCAAGACCAGCUACAGCUUUUUAUUGGUAUCCAAGUAGCGUCGCUCAUCUUGCCAGUCCUAGAAGGUACUGCGGAAAAUUAGGCGAGUGCAAUAUCUCUAGUCUGAGGCAUCCAGAUGGUGCUUCGAAUCCUAAUUUAAAAGAAGAAAUCGAGAGGAUACCCGGAAACGGUGCUUCGGGUUCGGAUCCUGAAGAGGAAUACGUGGAAGCAAAAAAACUCUUCACUGCGGCGGAGAGAUCGGAAAGAACAAUAACGGGCAAGUCCGAUAUCGAGGAGGACGUUAAAAUUCAAGCACCAUCCUCCGGUCGAAUGCAACGAAAAAUCCUAAGUCUUGGCUCUUCUUUGGGUCUCAACAAAGAGGGUUACGAAUCCGAUGCCGAUUCAGCAGCAAGGGUAGCUAAAUUAUCACCAGCUACAUUAUCCAGACAUCGAGCUGAGAGUUCAGGAUACGAUAGUGUUGUCAGAGACAGUGAGACCAGUAGUAUCGCUAGUGAUUCAUCGAGACAAACCAGUGCUCUUCAAGAACAUCAAGGUGGCGCUCUGGGCGUUCUAACCUCGACGUUGUGCGGGUGUUUCAGCGGUGGAACGGCGGGUGGCAGGGCGCGUGCUCCGGGCACGACUUCACUCUCAGCAGGUGGUCCGGCGGCAUCCGGUCGGGCCUCCACCGCUGCCGCCGGGGAUACUCGUCUACACAGGCGAGGACGUGGACAUCCUGGACAAGCGCGCGCGAUUGCGUUCGGAACCACGUGGCACGAUGUCCAAGAUACACAAACUGCGACUGCGCCAGCGCCUUCUUAGGCUCGAGCUGAGAGACGCCAAGAAGCGCCUGAUGGUUCCCGAUUGUCGCUGGAGCUACGAAUUGCACGUGGAGGACAGCAUGGAUUGGCGUGACCCGUCCUUUCUCGAGGCACUCGAAGCUGAAACUUACAUACUUCAAAAACGAGUAGAAGCU